UUUUUUUUUUUUUUUUUUGAAAGAGCAACCAACCAGAAGAAAAGAAGAGACCACUCACUGCCACUAAACAGAUUUCAGGCGAGGCCACAGACUAUUGACAUUUUGAAACCCUGUCGAUUUGUUCUAAACUCUGUGCCAUGUUACAUAUGCUAAUUAUGCAGGAAAAAUUACAGCAGAAAGAUGUGCUCUGAAAAUUAGCCCAGGCUGAAAACUCUCUUCCUUGGCCAUACUCUGACCUCUUAGGUCACUACCCAAAAUACAAAGGGCAAGUCAUCACCCCCUUAAUGAGAAAGUAGGAUGUAGACUCUUUAUGAAAAAACCUCCAGAAGUAAGCAGCUGAUGCUGUCACCCAAGCAUUGGUUUUAUUUAUUUUUAAUUUUUUAAAUUUUUAUCAUUACUCAAUGCAUUUAUUAUAGUUAUCAUCACAAUCCAAUUUUAUAGGAUUUCCAACCCACACCCCCAGUGCAUCCCCUCACCCCCCAAACUGUGUCCUUUGGAGACCAGAACUUUUUCAAAGUCUGUGAGACGAUCCAUUCUGCAAAGAAGUUCACUGUGUCCUUUUUUCAGAUUCCACGUGUCAGUGAAAGCAUUUGAUGUUGGUGUCUCAUUGUCUAGCUGACUCCACUUAGCAUGAUAGUUUCUAGGUCCAUCCAUGUUGCUACAAAUGCCGGUAUUUCGUUCCUUUUAAUGGCUGAGUAAUAUUCCACUGUGUCUAUGUACCACAUCGUCUUGGUCCACUCCUCUGUCGAUGGACAUUGAGGUUGUUUCCAUGUCCUGGCUCUUGAAAAUAGCCCAAACGCUGGUUUUAAAUUGGUCACUUGUUACUCAAAGUCAGUUGUGCUAUAACGCUUUAUUCACUUAAGAGUCAAGAAGUGAUAUCCGGAGGAGGGGUGUGUCUGUCCCAAGCCUAGAAAGCCCUUCCAAUCAGUCACUACCUUUUGAAUCACAUCAGUCAUUCAGAAUAUCUUUUUUUUUCUUUACCAAAUUUUUAACAAUUUUAUUUUUAUUAGAAUUUAGCUGAUUUACAGUGUUGUGUCAAUUUCUGUUAUAUGGCAUAUGCCCCAGGCAUACAUAUGUAUAUAUUCCUUUUCUCAUAUUAAUUUCCAUCAUUCCAUCCCAAGAGAUGGGAUAUAUAUGAGAAUUUCUAUUUGCACCCAUGUUGCUGCAAAUGGUAUUAUUUUGUUCUUUUUUAUGGCUGAGUAGUAUUCCAUCAUGUAUAUGUGCCACAUCUUCUUAAUCCAUUCAUCUGUUGAUGGACAUUUAGGUCGUUUCCAUGUUUUGGCUAUUGUGAGCAGUGCUGCAAUGAAUAUAGGAGUGCAUGUAUCUUUUUGAUAUUUUUGCUUUUUGGGGUUUGGGGGUACACACCUGCAGCAUAUGGAAGUUCCCAG
rnacentral:lncRNA from 1 species